rnacentral:rRNA from 1 species
ACUGAACGCUGGCGGCAGGCCUAACACAUGCAAGUCGAGCGGUAGAGAGGUGCUUGCAUCUCUUGAGAGCGGCGGACGGGUGAGUAAUGCCUAGGAAUCUGCCUAGUGGUGGGGGAUAACGUUCGGAAACGGACGCUAAUACCGCAUACGUCCUACGGGAGAAAGCGGGGGAUCUUCGGACCCUCGCGCCAUUAGAUGAGCCUAGGUCGGAUUAGCUAGUUGGUGAGGUAAUGGCUCACCAAGGCGACGAUCCGUAACUGGUCUGAGAGGAUGAUCAGUCACACUGGAACUGAGACACGGUCCAGACUCCUACGGAGGCAGCAGUGGGAAUAUUGGACAAUGGGCGAAAGCCUGAUCCAGCCA